GAUGAAGAACGUAGCGAAAUGCGAUAAGUAAUGUGAAUUGCAGAAUUCGGUGAAUCAUCGAAUCUUUGAACGCACAUUGCGCCCCUUGGUAUUCCGAGGGGCAUGCCUGUUCGAGCGUCAUUACACCACUCAAGCUAUGCUUGGUAUUGGGCGUCGUCCUUAGUUGGGCGCGCCUUAAAGACCUCGGCGAGGCCACUCCGGCUUUAGGCGUAGUAGAAUUUAUUCGAACGUCUGUCAAAGGAGAGGAACUCUGCCGACUGAAACCUUUAUUUUUCUAGGUUGACCUCGGAUCAGGUAGGGAUACCCGCUGAACUUAAGCAUAUCAAUAAGCGGAGGA
rnacentral:misc_RNA from 1 species